rnacentral:misc_RNA from 1 species
GCCAAAAGUAAACUGAUACUACUCCACCAGCCACGGUGGCCCCAAAAGAUGAAGAUAAUCCAUGCAAUAGAGGUUAGAAAGCACAAAAUUGAACAAACAAAGGCUCCCAUCAGCAGAGCAUUGUACCUACUUUUGACAACCUGACCCUAAAAUUUAUUUGCACACAUCUAUCUGCCUACAAGCAUGAUAAACAUAAAAAUUUU